rnacentral:rRNA from 1 species
GACGAACGCUGGCGGCGUGCCUAAUACAUGCAAGUCGAACGCUUCUUUUUCCACCGNGAGCUUGCUCCACCGNGAAAAAGAAGAGUGGCGAACGGGUGAGUAACACGUGGGUAACCUGCCCAUCAGAAGGGGAUAACACUUGGAAACAGGUGCUAAUACCGUAUAACAAUCAAAACCGCAUGGUUUUGAUUUGAAAGGCGCUUUCGGGUGUCGCUGAUGGAUGGACCCGCGGUGCAUUAGCUAGUUGGUGAGGUAACGGCUCACCAAGGCCACGAUGCAUAGCCGACCUGAGAGGGUGAUCGGCCACAUUGGGACUGAGACACGGCCCAAACUCCUACGGGAGGCAGCAGUAGGGAAUCUUCGGCAAUGGACGAAAGUCUGACCGAGCAACGCCGCGUGAGUGAAGAAGGUUUUCGGAUCGUAAAACUCUGUUGUUAGAGAAGAACAAGGAUGAGAGUAACUGUUCAUCCCUUGACGGUAUCUAACCAGAAAGCCACGGCUAACUACGUGCCAGCAGCCGCGGUAAUACGUAGGUGGCAAGCGUUGUCCGGAUUUAUUGGGCGUAAAGCGAGCGCAGGCGGUUUCUUAAGUCUGAUGUGAAAGCCCCCGGCUCAACCGGGGAGGGUCAUUGGAAACUGGGAGACUUGAGUGCAGAAGAGGAGAGUGGAAUUCCAUGUGUAGCGGUGAAA